rnacentral:rRNA from 1 species
AGCUCCAAGAGCAUAUAUUAAAGUUGUUGCAGUUAAAAAGCUCGUAGUUGGACUUCUGGUUUAAUGCACCUGGCCCGCGGCCCACAAGGCCUGUGAGUGCCGGCGCGCGUUUACCAUCCUUCCAGCAACGGCUACCCUUAACUGGGCGGCUGGAACUGGAUCUUUUACUUUGAAAAAAUUAGAGUGUUUAAAGCAGGCGUUUGCUCUGAAUACAUUAGCAUGGAAUAAUAAUCUAGGACUUCGGUUCUAUUUUGUUGGUUUCUAUAACUGAAGUAAUGAUUGAUAGGGAUAGUUGGGGGUGCUAGUAUUGGCCGGUCAGAGGUGAAAUUCUUGGAUUCGGUCAAGACUAACUUAUGCGAAAGCAUUCACCAAGGAUGUCUUCU